GGCCAUAGCUCAGUGGCAGAGCACCCACUUGGCAUGCAGAAGGUCCCAGGUUCAAUCCUGGGCAUAGCCA